rnacentral:rRNA from 1 species
UACGGGGGGGGCAAGCGUUGUUCGGAAUUACUGGGCGUAAAGGGUUCGUAGGUGGCCGACUAAGUCAGACGUGAAAUCCCUCAGCUCAACUGGGGAACUGCGUCUGAGACUGGCCGGCUUGAGUGCAGGAGAGGAACGCGGAAUUCCAGGUGUAGCGGUGAAAUGCGUAGAUAUCUGGAGGAACACCGGUGGCGAAGGCGGCAUUCUGGACUGUAACUGACACUGAUGAACGAAAGCCAGGGGAGCAAACGGG